rnacentral:rRNA from 1 species
CCUACGGGAGACAGCAGUGGGGAAUAUUGCACAAUGGGGGAAACCCUGAUGCAGCGACGCCGCGUGAGUGAAGAAGUAAUUCGUUAUGUAAAGCUCUAUCAGCAGGGAAGAAAAUGACGGUACCUGAGUAAGAAGCCCCGGCUAACUACGUGCCAGCAGCCGCGGUAAUACGUAGGGGGCAAGCGUUAUCUGGAUUUACUGGGUGAAAAGGGAGCGUAGAUGGCAGUGCAAGUCUGGAGUGAAAGGCGGGGGUUCAACCCCCGGACGACUCUGGAAACUGUACGGCUGGAGUGCAGGGGAGGUAAGAGGAAUUCCUGGUGUAGCGGUGAAAUGGGUGGAUAUUAGGAGGAACACGAGUGGCGAAGGCGGCUUACUGGACUGUAACUGACGUUGAGGCUCGAAAUCGUGGGGAGCAAACAGGAUUAGAUCCCCGGUAGUC